rnacentral:rRNA from 1 species
UGGGGAAUAUUGCACAAUGGAGGGAACUCUGAUGCAGCGACGCCGCGUGAACGAAGAAGGCUUUCGAGUCGUAAAGUUCUUUUAUAUGGGAAGAUAAUGACGGUACCAUAAGAAAAAGCCCCGGCUAACUACGUGCCAGCAGCCGCGGUAAUACGUAGGGGGCUAGCGUUGUCCGGAAUCACUGGGCGUAAAGGGUUCGCAGGCGGAAUAACAAGUCAGAUGUGAAAGGCAUGGGCUCAACCCAUGUAAGCAUUUGAAACUGUAAUUCUUGAGAAGUGGAGAGGUAAGUGGAAUUCCUAGUGUAGCGGUGAAAUGCGUAGAUAUAUGGAGGAACACCGGUGGCGAAAGCGGCUCUCUGGUCUGUAACUGACGCUGAGGCUCGAAAGCGUGGGGAGCGAACAGG